AUCCGGUAGUUCAGCUGGUUAGAAUGCCGCCCUGUCACGGCGGAGGUCGCGGGUUCGAGUCCCGUCCGGAUCGCAA
rnacentral:tRNA from 1 species